rnacentral:rRNA from 1 species
CAGUCGCCGCGGUAAUACCGAGGGUGCGAGCGUUAAUCGGAUUUACUGGGCGUAAAGCGUGCGUAGGCGGCUUCUUAAGUCGGAUGUGAAAUCCCUGAGCUUAACUUAGGAAUUGCAUUCGAUACUGGGAAGCUAGAGUAUGGGAGAGGAUGGUAGAAUUCCAGGUGUAGCGGUGAAAUGCGUAGAGAUCUGGAGGAAUACCGAUGGCGAAGGCAGCCAUCUGGCCUAAUACUGACGCUGAGGUACGAAAGCAUGGGGAGCAAACAGGAUUAGAUACCCGCGUAGUCCCUGUCUCUUAUAC